GUGUUUAUUUAAAAAAUGAGGUUGAAGGUAGUCCUUUUCUUUCAUUUCAUUCAUUUUCAUUUUCUUUCUUAAGUAUGGCUAACACAAUAUCUAAUCAAUUAAAAUUUUAUAUUUUCACGUGAAAAGUUUCUUUAGAUAAUUAUUAUCAACAUGAUGACUCACUCUUACGGAUUAAUACGUGUCUGUAGGGCAAUCCGGUGGACUUGAUCGGCUUUUUACUUCGAAAGUUGAGUAAUCGGUGUCGCUUUCUUACGCAUCUUUGAACUGUAUAAAUGUUUUAAAAUUGUUUGAUCCAGAAUGUACCACACCGGACAAUCAAGAAGGCAGGUGCCUUGACUACAGAAAAUGUAAACCUCUGCAAGAAAUAUGGCAGAUACAGUACCGUACAGCCACCGAUUUUUAUAGACGAUCAGUGUGCAGAUACCAGGGCAAUGUUACGAUCGUUUGCUGUCCGAACGAUCCAAACAAAGAGAAGAGAGAAAUUUUAAUAAAAACUGUGUAUAAGUAUAAGGCUUUGCGACCACCAUACUGUGGUUUUAGCAACGUCUCUCAUACCAGGGUGGUCGAUGGUAAACCAGCUGAACUUGGAAGAGUAUCUUUUUGCUUGAAAUAAAAAAUUGAUAUAGGAGUAAUAAUAUGGAUAGAGAACAAAAACUGUUAGGGCAGAAAUUACACGUUUGAACUUUAUAGUUCAGUAUAGUUCAAAUAGAAAUUAUAUAGAAUUAUUUAAUAAUUUGUAUUCCACUGGAAUAAAAAUUUAAUUUCUGUCUUUAUCAAAUCUCUAUUUCAGAGUAUUUGUACGUAUGUACUUAUCGUCUGCUGUAUGAUCGAAUAUCGAAUAGGCGCUUGGCCAUGGAUCGCUGCAUUAGGUUUUCGUAAUCCCCGAAACCCAGACAAACCACUAUGGAAGUGCGGAGGUUCCCUGAUAUCGGCUAGGCAUGUUUUGACCGCAGCACAUUGUGCACAUAUGGAUGGAAUAGAAAACAUACACAAUCAUAAUAUUGUCAUUCUUAGAUUGGUGGAGGAGGUGCCAUU